rnacentral:rRNA from 1 species
CGUGUAGGCGGCUUGGUAAGUCGGAUGUGAAAGUCCCGGGCUCAACCCGGGAAGUGCAUUCGAAACUGCUAGGCUUGAGUAAGAGAGAGGAAAGUGGAAUUCCUGGUGUAGAGGUGAAAUUCGUAGAUAUCAGGAGGAACACCGGUGGCGAAGGCGACUUUCUGGCUCUAUACUGACGCUGAGACGCGAAAGCGUGGGCAGCAAACAGGAUUAGAUACCCUGGUAGUCC